UAAAGGCUUGGUCCUGACUUUACCAUCAGCUUUAAACCAAUUUACACAUGCAAGUCUCCGCAAACCCGUGAGAAUGCCCUCAAUCCCCUGCCCGGGGACGAGGAGCACGCAUCAGGCACAAAUUUUAGCCCAAGACGCCUUGCCAUGCCACACCCCCAAGGGAACUCAGCAGUGAUAAAUAUUAAGCCAUAAGUGAAAGCUUGACUUAUUUAGAGAUAAGAAGGGCCGGUAAAACUCGUGCCAGCCACCGCGGUUAUACGAGAGGCCCUAUUUGAUGGACACGGCGUAAAGGGUGGUUAAGGUCCAAAAUAUAUAAAGCCAAAAGACCUCUUGUCUGUCAUACGCCCCUGAGUGUCUGAAGUCCACACACGAGAGUAGCUUUAAUAUUAGUCUACCUGACCCCACGAAAGCUGAGAAACAAACGGGGAUUAGAUACCCCACUAUGCUCAGCCAUAAACUUAGACGUUAUUUCACAAUUAAACGUCCGCCAGGGUACUACGAGCAUUAGCUUAAAACCCAAAGGACUUGGCGGUGCCUUAGACCCCCCUAGAGGAGCCUGUUCUAGAACCGAUAACCCCCGUUAAACCUCACCACUUCUGGCCAACCCCGCCUAUAUACCGCCGUCGUCAGCUUACCCUGUGAAGGACUGAUAGUAAGCAAAGUGAAUAUAAUUCAAAACGUCAGGUCGAGGUGUAGCGAACGAAGUGGGAAGAAAUGGGCUACAUUUUCUUUAAUAAGAAUAUCACGAACAACACUAUGAAAACUUAGUGCUCGAAGGAGGAUUUAGUAGUAAAAAGGAAAUAGAGUGUCCUUUUGAACCCGGCUCUGAGGCGCGUACACACCGCCCGUCACUCUCCCCGCUAAUAGCAACAAACGUUACUAACAUUUAAGCACAAAUAAGGGGAGGCAAGUCGUAACAUGGUAAGUGUACCGGAAGGUGCACUUGGAUCAAAUC
rnacentral:ncRNA from 1 species